rnacentral:rRNA from 1 species
UACGAAGGGGGCUAGCGUUGCUCGGAAUCACUGGGCGUAAAGCGCACGUAGGCGGCUUUCUAAGUCAGGGGUGAAAUCCUGGAGCUCAACUCCAGAACUGCCUUUGAUACUGGAGAGCUUGAGUCCGGAAGAGGUGAGUGGAACUCCGAGUGUAGAGGUGAAAUUCGUAGAUAUUACGGAAGAACACCAGUGGCGAAGGCGGCUCACUGGCCCGAAACUGACGCUGAGGCACGAAAGCUAGGGGAGCAAACGGG